GAUGAACGCUGGCGGCGUGCCUAAUACAUGCAAGUCGAGCGAACAGACGAGGAGCUUGCUCCUCUGACGUUAGCGGCGGACGGGUGAGUAACACGUGGAUAACCUACCUAUAAGACUGGGAUAACUUCGGGAAACCGGAGCUAAUACCGGAUAAUAUAUUGAACCGCAUGGUUCAAUAGUGAAAGACGGUUUUGCUGUCACUUAUAGAUGGAUCCGCGCCGCAUUAGCUAGUUGGUAAGGUAACGGCUUACCAAGGCAACGAUGCGUAGCCGACCUGAGAGGGUGAUCGGCCACACUGGAACUGAGACACGGUCCAGACUCCUACGGGAGGCAGCAGUAGGGAAUCUUCCGCAAUGGGCGAAAGCCUGACGGAGCAACGCCGCGUGAGUGAUGAAGGUCUUCGGAUCGUAAAACUCUGUUAUUAGGGAAGAACAAAUGUGUAAGUGACUAUGCACGUCUUGACGGUACCGAAUCAGAAAGCCACGGCUAACUACGU
rnacentral:rRNA from 1 species